CUUGUGUAUAUGAUAAAGUGGAGAUGGAAGUGAUUUCCUGCAUGGACUCACCCACAUAGGAGCAAUCAACUACAGUGCAUUAAAAGAAUGUUGGCCGGUGAAUAUAUAGAUUUUGAUUGGUGGGUUUCACAGUUCGUUUUUUCAUGGAUGAUUCCAACUGCUUCUGAAAAUGGAAGAUAAAGAAUUAGAAAAUACAUGAUUGGUAGAUACAUAUAUAUAUAUAUAUAUAUUAUAUAUAUAUAACUAUUUCUUCCUUUUUAUGAGAUUGCAAAUUCCCAA
rnacentral:lncRNA from 1 species